UGGCCCCUUAGCUCAGUUGGUUAGAGCACGCGACUCAUAAUCGCUUGGUCACUGGUUCAAGUCCAGUAGGGGCCACC
rnacentral:tRNA from 1 species